rnacentral:rRNA from 1 species
GAUGAACGCUGGCGGCGUGCCUAAUACAUGCAAGUCGAGCGAACAGACGCGGAGCUUGCUCCUCUGACGUUAGCGGCGGACGGGUGAGUAACACGUGGAUAACCUACCUAUAAGACUGGGAUAACUUCGGGAAACCGGAGCUAAUACCGGAUAAUAUAUUGAACCGCAUGGUUCAAUAGUGAAAGACGGUUUUUGUGUCACUUAUAGAUGGAUCCGCGCCGCAUUAGCUAGUUGGUAAGGUAAAGGCUUACCAAGGCAACGAUGCGUAGCCGACCUCAGAGGGUGAUCGGCAACACUGGAACUGCGACCAGGUCCAGAAAACUAAGGGAGGAAGCCGUAGGGAAUCUUACGCAAUGGGCGAAAGCCUGACGGAGCAACCGCGCGUGAGUGAUGAAGGUCUUCGGAUCGUAAAACUCUGUUAUGAGGGAAGAACAAAUGUGUACGUAAAUAUGCACGGCUUGACGGUACCUAAUCAGAAAGCCACGGCUAACUACGUG